GUUGCAAGUACUGCGGUUUGUUUUCAUUCGCCAAAUAAUAAAAUAACAACCUGCAGUUAUGGCGGACGUUGAUCAAGAAACAGCGGAACGAAGUGAUGGUGAUACCAGUAAAUCUGAUAAAUUAUUUACUCUGAAAAAAUGGAAUGCAGUCGCCAUGUGGAGUUGGGACGUUGAAUGUGAUACCUGUGCGAUAUGCAGAGUUCAAGUUAUGGACGCAUGUUUGCGCUGUCAGGCUGAAAGUAAGAAGGACUUCUACGGACGACAAGACUGCGUUGUAGUUUGGGGUGAAUGUAACCACUCGUUUCACUACUGCUGCAUGUCCCUGUGGGUGAAGCAGAACAAUCGUUGUCCUCUUUGUCAGCAGGAAUGGUCCAUCCAACGAAUGGGAAAAUGAAAUGGAAUAUGUAUAAGAACGGCCUCAUGAAUAUGGUCAUACGCGCACCUUUUUUUAAGAAAUAUUACCCAACUUUGUGGUGUGCAGAGCGGUGAGUGGAAGCGAGGCUGGUGAUUUUGUAAAAAAUAUUAACAACUCAUGAAGUGUCUAAGAGGAUGGAUGGGACUGAUUCAGUAGACAGUGAGUAAAUUGACUUUCAUUAGACCAGUUUAAUUGCCAAUACCGAGAAAAAAAUUUUCGCUUAAAUAAUGACUUCUAAUUUGAAUAUUGGAUAAUAUGAAAAAUAUCAGGAUGGGAUUGUCACGAUGGGACUAUAAAUACUUUGGUCGUGCUCUUUACUGUCACGAGAUUGAUUAUCACUUUUUGAAUGUAAAUAUUCAGCUUUAAUAAACAUGAAGCGUGCGUCAAA